ACAACAGGUGGAGCCUGCGGUUUAAUCGGACUCAACGCCGGGAAGCUCACCGGAUAAGACAGCGGAAUGAUAGCCGGGCUGAAGACUCUGCUUGACUAGCUGAGAGGAGGUGCAUGGCCGUCGUCAGUUCGUACUGUGAAGCAUCCUGUUAAGUCAGGCAACGAGCGAGACCCACGCCAACAGUUGCCAGCAUGUCCUCCGGGAUGGUGGGGACACUGUUGGGACCGCCUCUGCUAAAGAGGAGGAAGGAAUGGGCAACGGUAGGUCAGCAUGCCCCGAAUUAUCCGGGCUACACGCGGGCUACAAUGGUCAGGACAAUGGGCAUCAACACCGAAAGGUGAAGGCAAUCUCUUAAACCUGUCCUUAGUUCGGAUUGUGGGCUGCAACUCGCCCACAUGAAGCUGGAAUCUGUAGUAAUCGCGUCUCAAAAUGGCGCGGUGAAUAUGUCCCUGCUCCUU
rnacentral:rRNA from 1 species